GACGAACGCUGGCGGCGUGCUUAACACAUGCAAGUCGAACGGAAAGGCCCCUUUGGGGGUACUCGAGUGGCGAACGGGUGAGUAACACGUGAGUAACCUGCCCUUGACUUCGGGAUAACUUCAGGAAACUGGGGCUAAUACCGGAUAGGAAUCCUUGCUGCAUGGUGGGGGUUGGAAAGCUUCGGCGGUUUUGGAUGGGCUCGCGGCUUAUCAGCUUGUUGGUGGGGUAGUGGCUUACCAAGGCUUUGACGGGUAGCCGGCCUGAGAGAGCGACCGGCCACAUUGGGACUGAGAUACGGCCCAGACUCCUACGGGAGGCAGCAGGGGGGAAUAUUGCACAAUGGGCGGAAGCCUGAUGCAGCAACGCCGCGUGCGGGAUGACGGCCUUCGGGUUAUAAACCGCUUUCAGCAGGGGCGAAGCUUGUGGUGACGGUACCUGCAGAAGAAGCACCGGCUAACUACGUG
rnacentral:rRNA from 1 species